GACGAACGCUGGCGGCGUGCUUAACACAUGCAAGUCGAACGGAAAGGCCUCUUUCGGGGGGUACUCGAGUGGCGAACGGGUGAGUAACACGUGAGUAACCUGCCCUUGACUUUGGGAUAACUUCAGGAAACUGGGGCUAAUACCGGAUAGGAGCUCCUGCUGCAUGGUGGGGGUUGGAAAGUUUCGGCGGUUGGGGAUGGACUCGCGGCUUGUCAGCUUGUUGGUGGGGUAGUGGCUUACCAAGGCUUUGACGGGUAGCCGGCCUGAGAGGGUGACCGGCCACAUUGGGACUGAGAUACGGCCCAGACUCCUACGGGAGGCAGCAGUGGGGAAUAUUGCACAAUGGGUGGAAGCCUGAUGCAGCAACGCCGUGCGCGGGAUGACGGCCUUCGGGUUGGAAACCGCUUUCGCUCAUGACGAAGCUUUGUGUGACGGUAGUGGGUAAAGAAGCACCGGCUAACUACGUG
rnacentral:rRNA from 1 species